AGAGUUUGAUCCUGGCUCAGAACGAACGCUGGCGGCGUGUUUAAGACAUGCAAGUCGCACGGAACCAAAUUGGUAGUAAUACUCGUUUGGUUCAGUGGCGCACGGGUGAGUAACACGUGAAUUACAUGCCCUUCAGUGGGGAAUAGCCCAGGGAAACUUGGAUUAAUACCCCAUGGUAUCGCAAGAUUAAAGGUGGCCGCAAGGCUGUCGCUGAAGGAUUGGUUCGCGCCCUAUCAGCUUGUUGGUGAGGUAAUGGCUCACCAAGGCUACGACGGGUACCUGGUCUGAGAGGACGAUCAGGCACACUGGAACUGAGACACGGUCCAGACACCUACGGGUGGCAGCAGUCGAGAAUAAUUCACAAUGGACGAAAGUCUGAUGGUGCAACGCCGCGUGGAGGAUGACGGUCUUCGGAUUGUAAACUCCUGUCAUCCGGGAGUAAGACCUGGCUGUGAAUAGCAGACAGGGUUGAUAGUACCGGAAGAGGAAGGGACGGCUAACUUCGUGCCAGCAGCCGCGGUAAUAC
rnacentral:rRNA from 1 species